UGCUCUUCUUGUGGUGUAGUGUUGGGCAAGGAACCAGGCGCAGGCAUAUCUCACGUUCGUGGGUUUAAUAAACAAUCAAAAGAAAACCGAACAACGAACGGAAAAAUAUAACUACAGACUGAAAGAAAUCAAAGCGCGCGACAACACGUCUUAACAGUGUGCAUCAUUUGAAAGGGUCCAGUGAUUUGGAAUACUCCUCUGUGACCCAGUAUCCACCUCUUGUAGAGGUAAUGGUCGGAAACAACAUCAGCAUGAACUGCGUCCUGGCGGGGUUGACAUCCUACUGUUACACUGUGGCUUGGAUGAGACUACACAGGUGGCCCAGGCUUCUGCGAGUGACUAAGAAAACCAAUAUCAACCCCAGGUCUGAGCAAGCAGUCUUCAAGAAUGAAUGCCCAGUGUCCAUCUACAACGCAACUGUCGCUGACUCUGGGGUUUACUACUGCGCCGUUAUCUAUGGCGAGCAGCUCUACAUAGGCAAUGGCACCACAGUGGUUGUUAAAGAUGAACACCAAGCACCUCCAACCAUUGAUAUCCUAAAACCUUCAAACAACGACAAGUCCUCAGUCCCUCUCAUGUGUCUGGUGUCAGGACUGGUCCCGUCUCAGGUCCGUGUGUUCUGGCUCAUAAAUGGAAGAGAGGAGAGUGGACUAACUGAGUCGGCGUGGACAGACAACAGUGAUUCAGCAAAAGAGUUCACUGGGAACCAGAUUCUGGUCCAGGCAGAGGAGUGGGACAGAGGAGCAGAGUGCACAUGUGUGGUGGAGUUUGGUGGGCAGAAUAUCACCAAAACUGUGGAAAAGCUAGACUUUGGCAUCCUGUGUUACAUCACAGUGUGGAUGUACAGACUCCUGGGAAUAACUGCCUGGCUCCUGCUGUUGAUCCUGUCUGUCAUUGUGGCAUCAUGCAGUUGCAAACACAGAUGUUUUCAGAUGAACAAAUUAUAAGAGAGGACCAAGACAUAAUUAAUCAAGAGAUAAUGCAUGAUAGGUUGGGUUUGUUUCUUGAUGGUUUGUAAUUUAAGUGGCAGUGGCCUGUGACAAUUAGACAUUAUGUGUUUUAUGUUUUUUAUGUGUUGCUUAACAUCAAUUAUAACAAUCUAUAUUUGAAGUUUUCUUAGUGGAACUGGCAUAAAUAUUACCUCACUGUACACGUAUUGUAAAAGCUUCCUCGGGCUCUUUGGGUCAGAUAUCCUUUUUUAUUUCAUUCUAACGAUUAAUUAAUUAGUAAUUGUAAUGCCAUUGAAUUCCUCUGGGAAACAUACUUUCAGACUUUGUGCAAUGUACUUUUUAAAGUUGCAACCCUAUAUAUUUAAUCUUUAUGUUAAUGUCAUGUUGUUAAUGCCUUGUGGCUUAUUUGCCUGAAUUCCUGAUGAUACGUGUGCUCUAUUAACUUCUCCAAAGAGAUACGUAGUUGCAAUUGAUGUGCCAUAACAACCCUCAAAUAAGAGUCAAAUAUUUGCUGUAAGCACAGUGAGUACCUGACAUGUCCAGCAACAAAGUAUUAAAUGCUUAUAUGCAUCUCA